rnacentral:rRNA from 1 species
GAUGAACGCUGGCGGCGUGCCUAACACAUGCAAGUCGAACGAAGCGCCUGGCCCCGACUUCUUCGGAACGAGGAGCCUUGCGACUUAGUGGCGGACGGGUGAGUAACGCGUGGGAAACCUGCCCUGUACCGGGGGAUAACACUUAGAAAUAGGUGCUAAUACCGCAUAAGCGCACAGCUUCACAUGAAGCAGUGUGAAAAACUCCGGUGGUACAGGAUGGUCCCGCGUCUGAUUAGCCAGUUGGCAGGGUAACGGCCUACCAAAGCGACGAUCAGUAGCCGGCCUGAGAGGGCGACCGGGCCACAUUGGGACUGAGACACGGCCCAAACUCCUACGGGAGGCAGCAGUGGGGAAUAUGCACAAUGGGGGAAACCCUGAUGCAGCGACGCCGCGUGAAGGAAAGAAGUAUUUCGGUAUGUAAACUUCUAUUCAGCAGGGAAGAAAUGACGGUACCCUGACCUAAGAAGCCCCGGCUAACUACGUGCCAAGCAGCCGCCGCCGU